GAGCUCGUAGGCGGUUUGUCGCGUCUGCUGUGAAAUCCGGAGGCUCAACCUCCGGCCUGCAGUGGGUACGGGCAGACUAGAGUGCGGUAGGGGAGAUUGGAAUUCCUGGUGUAGCGGUGGAAUGCGCAGAUAUCAGGAGGAACACCGAUGGCGAAGGCAGAUCUCUGGGCCGUAACUGACGCUGAGGAGCGAAAGGGUGGGGAGCAAACAGGAUUAGAAACCCUNGUAGUC
rnacentral:rRNA from 1 species